rnacentral:rRNA from 1 species
GCGCGAAAACUUUACAAUGCGGGAAACCGUGAUAAGGGAACCCCGAAUGCCCGUAAAUUCGGGCUGUUAACCUGUUUAAAAAGCAGGUGGAGAAAGGGCCGGGCAAGACCGGUGCCAGCCRCCGCGGUAAUACCGGCGGCUCGAGUGGUGGCCACUAUUACUGGGCUUAAAGCGUCCGUAGCUGGAUUGUUAAGUCUCUUGGGAAAUCUACCGGCUUAACCGAUAGGCGUUCAAGGGAUACUGGCAAUCUAGGGACCGGGAGAGGUGAGAGGUACUCCAGGGGUAGGA